AGAACAAGAAUCCUUCCAAUUACGUUUCAAAGAAAACUUUCUUAGAUGGGGAGAAGAGACAGCUACCUCUUUGUAUAUGCAGGAGAAUAAUAUUUGGGGCUGACUCUUUGCUUAGAAUGCAGACCCUGUAAGUGUAGGGCAAUAUCUGGAUUUCAUCGUGUCACUUCAAAGCUCCCAAAGGAAACUGUUAUUUCCAUAUUCUUACCUGUUUGCAACAACUCAAAACAAGUGGACAGUAAAUCAGUGAGAAGACCAAUUUUACAGCACAUCAAAGAUGAAACACUAGGUGUGGAGUGCACUGAAAAUACUGCUCAGUUGCCUUUUCCAUUUCAUCUUGAGAAAGACCUAUCAUCACUAAAGACAGCUGUAAUGCAGUGAAAAUUGCAUUUGACUUGACAUUGGAAAGACGUGGGUUACAGAUCUGCUUCUCCCUACUUGUAGGAACUGGAUCAACGCACUGAUGAUUUAUGAGCCUCCUUUGCUUUUUAUGUAAAACUUGGGUGAUACUAGGUUGAACUGUAUGAAGUUGUCUAUAUUUGACCAUUUCUGACCUACAAGAAUAAUAGUUUCAGGUGAUUUAUUUAUUUUAACAAAAGUUGUCUCACUCUGUUGCUCUGUAUACCAAUGCAGAAAACAAACGGAGAAAAGGUUUGAUAAAAUGCCAUGUCUGAGCAUUAGGUUGGUCCACUUGAAAAUACACUGUUUAAAUUUAAGCACUAUUAUCAGCAUCACAAUUUGUGUUGAAGAGUUUUUGUUCAAAGUCAAAGAAUAAGAAAUAAACCAAUUAAAAUGAUUGCUAUACUCUUGUAUUAAAUUAUUGCUAAUGAAUCUAAUUCAUCAUAAAAUUCUUAAAACAGGAAAAUUUUAGUUACCAUAUCUUACUGAUGUAUAGGAUAAUUUAGGGGAGAGCAUACAAAUGUACUAUAAUCAGUUAUAACUGGCUUCAAAUUCCUGCUCUGUCACUUGCAUGUUGUAUCAUUUUCUGAUUCUGGCCUGAAUACC
rnacentral:lncRNA from 1 species